CUUUGUGAUUGUCUUUGCAAGUUUGUUUUGAAAGUUCACAGGCAUGCUUUCUUUUCUUUUAGACCAGGAGACCGUGAUCUCACCCUGACGGUAAGAUCAAAAGUCUCCGCUCGCCCCCAGCCUGCGGGCUUGGGCUGGGUCCAGACGCCUCCCUGAAUGCAGAUGUGCGGCCGCCGUCCUCCCGGGCUAUAAAGCCGCCUCCUGCGCCUUGGUGCGCGCAGGAGCGCUCGGAAUCGCGGGAUGCGGGCCCCGGGCGGUUGCGGGGAGUUGGAAUCGGGCUGCGGCUGGGCUCCGGGGCUGGCCUUGUGCGGCAGAGUCGGGGGUGGGGGCCGCCGUGUGCAGUUGGUGCCUGCAGCCGCAUAGGCCGGAGCGACUGCCCCUCCAGGCCCGGGAGACCCGGCUGUGGGGCGUGAAACGCUUCUUGCGAACGAGGAAACGGUGAGUUGGCAGACGCCGCCUGCGGCCUCAGGAUUCUACGAUUCUAGUAGCGGCACGGAGCACUUCUUUUCUGAAGGAGGAUAGGCGCCGCGGGAGGUCAGCUCCUGCCUGCUCCUGACUCACCUUCCACGCGCCGAGCGCCCAUUUAGGCGCGCCGGUUGUGGCGAGUGCACAGCGCUGGGCGCCGCACACUGAAGGCUUGAGAGUUUCGCCCUGGCUAGUGUUUCCCCCUCCUCCUUUCCUUCCUCGAGCUGCUCUCCAAACCUCAGUUCCCUCCGCCCCCUCCCCCUGCCGGCCGCGGCCUGAGCAUGGGUCUCCGCGCGGCGGGCAGCCACCGCCCGAUCUCUGCCUCGCCCUCCCCCGCUCAGGCGCUGCGCGCAGUGCGAUCCGCCCCAACAUCUGUCCGUCCAACCAUUGGCGCAUCCAUCAGUGUCAAUGAGCUGCACAUCGCGGCUACAGCCCGUCACGCACAACACGGGCUAUGCGGAGUGCGUACUGUGACCGCGCUGCCUUGCCCCGAAAGGCAAACAGGGUUCCAGCCUGCCUUGGCACAGCCUGGAACCCUGAUCUCUUUGGGUUUUUAGCCACACGCACUUCCUUUAAUUUUGGAACUUCUAAACAAGACUAGUUUUGCAGGCCAUUCUAGGGAUGGGACAGAUGCAGGGGACAGUAUCAGCCUAGCCCUUGCAUUCCACCACGUGCUCUCUGCCCCUUUUCUGUGGACUGGGUGUGGCAUAAGAAAGAAAGGGGCGAGGCUUCCCAAGUCCGCAGCAAGCACAGUACAGACCCGGAAGCUACCUGAAUGCCUUGGCUUAAACCCGCUUCAGCUGGGCUGAGUCUGAGGCUGUCGAUGUUGCCAGGCAGGUCUUAGCCAGAAGGACUAAAGCUAAAACUUCACUAGGCUGCUUCAUGACAUGGCCUGACAGUAAGGAGCGUGGGGAGGGAAGAAAAUUCGGAUCCAGGGAGAAUUAAGGGGUCAAUUUAGGGAGAAAUAGUGACUGGGUGGCACUAAGUCUGUAAUUCACAUGUUAUUUACAAAGAGAGAGGGCAGGGCCAUAUGUUGGAGAAGCCAGUGCUUUGCAGGGACUUCGGCCAUUCUCCCAGAGUGCUGACCCCAGCGGCAGCGACGGCGGUGGUGGCAUGUUCCCCUGCUUUUGUUUCUUUCUUUUCCCUACCGUCCCCCUACCCACCCCCCAACACACACAACGUACGGAAGACAGACAUCUUCACAUAUGUUCCCAAUCAUAAGACCAGUCUGGCCGUGCCAAGGGGCCUUUCUUGUCCUCCGAAGAACUUCAGGGGAAGAGCUCACAUAGGACCUACUCCUUGGACAUCUGCGGGGCGGCUGUACCUGGGCAUUUUACCUGACUUUAUUCCUACUGUAAAUAUUUCUGUCCGGGUGCCUGGUGAGUUCUGCCCCUCAGUGGACUACCCAAGCUGGUCAAAACCUGUGCGUCUAUUCGUUCCGCGAUUUGCAAGUUCAGAGGGAUACAGGAACCGCUUCCCUGGCGAGCGCCCAGGUCUGCGCCCGCUGCUCCAGAGGAGGCCAGAGAGGGCCGCGGCGGCGCUCACUGGGGCUCCUUCCUGCGGGAAGGAUGGACCGCGCUUUCGCGUGCGGGCUUCGCGCACCACAUCCCGCCGCCAAACCGUUUUCACGCUAGACUAGAGGCAGAAAAGCCCGAGCCCGGCCACGGAGCUAGAAUUCUGUAGAAGACGCACUGUAUAGUCUUUGUACCCCACUCUGAAGAGUUAAGGAGACCAUUCCUUUGAAAAGCGACUACAGGCUUCCGCCCCGCACAAACACCUGGUAACUUCUUGGCCCCGUGAGUCACGCAAAAAGUAACCCCCUAGGCCAGUUAGAUGCUGUCACCUCUAAGAGGUGCUGCGUUUCUGGGAAUAAUUUUUAAACAUCUAAAAAUAAAAGGACUGGGCUGGGGGACCGUGGGGAGACAGCGAAACGUCCGGUGGCAAACUGCUUUUGAGGUCAAGUGGUUCACCCGGUUAAGAGCCCAGAAAAUUUCCAGGCGCCAUGAAGGCAACUCCUGACCCCCAAGAUUGCGUCUGGGCCCCAGUUGAACCCCGUUCCUCCUCCGCAGUGGGGCGCUGAGCCCUGUUCAGUACAAAGGCUGCCAAACGCCUCUUCUUCAGGUCAGGGGUUAGAAACCCGACUCCAGCUCUCGGAACUCAAGUAGCCCCAGGCCUCGGUGUCUGGGCCUACUUGCCUGGGUCUGUCCCACCCCGGGGGCAUUCCUGCCCUUGGCUAACCCCAGCCCCACCCAGGCGAGUUGGAGUCCGGGGAGUAUGUGGGCGUGGCUGAAACAAGUGUGCGGUGGAGGAGCUGGGAUUCGGGCCUCAGCGAGGGAGUCAGGAAGUUCGUGCGGGGAAGGAACAGGCGGGCCACCGCCGGGAGGCAGCCGAGGUUGUAUUCAAGGUGCGAUUGAGGGGCAUUGGGUGACAGCCCGCCGGACUCGAGCCAGGCUGAAUGAACUGUGUCCUUACUUGGGAUGACCAGGAGGGAAAAGGUUUCCAGAAAGAAGGCAUUCUCGAAGCUGCCGAUCCAGGCAAGGUAGCCAGCCAGGGUAGGCUGGAGGGCCCAGGAGCAGGGCCCUAAGGCUAGACCUUGGAGAGGGGUUCUCCGUGCCCCGAGGGAGGCGCGGGCCGCCUGGAGGGAGAGAGUAAGUUCCCGGAGCCUGCACCCCAUUUCAAGGUAUGAGAGCAUCUGGCUCGGCGGUGGGCCUUUGGGGAACCCAGUGCCUGCCCAGCAGUGCCAGGGGAGGCGGCGCCAAGUGCUCUCUGGCCUGCGCUGCCUGGUACGCUGGCGCUCUGGUCUGGCCCCUUUCACACUUCUCACACUGCAGUCUGGGCCAGGCAGGAGGGCAGGGAAGCGGACUGCCGCCACCUGCACAUCUCAGCUAGGAAUUGGGUCCGGGACCAUAGCGCCUGACAACCCGCGAAGGAUUUGGACCUUGGGGCCAGGCCCUAGCUAGGCGGUAAACUGUUUGCUGAAAGUGCAUUUACACAGCGGCGAAGUUUGUUUCUCUUUUUCCGGUAGCUUUGUUUUAACGAACCAGAUGUUUUGCCUGUAAAUUCUCCCAAGAACUUUUACAGUUUUGACGUGAAAUAAACCUUCGAAAAUCGGAGCGGUAUAUUUAAUGCUACUUCUGUGGGACCUUGGGGGAUCUGGAUGUGAGCUGGGGGCGGGGCAAGGCAAUCCUCGAAGAAAAGUAGGAGACUUUUCUCGUCCCAAGGUCAAGAACUGGUGCUGAGAAUGUGAAACCCACCCUCUCCACCCCCACCCAACACACUCGGGUACACACACUCCCAACCGUCCCCCUCGGGCGGUGGCUUCCUACUUUGUAAAUUGCUUGUCGCUCUGGCACAGAGGAGUAGCCCAGCUUUACCAGCUGUGCUCCCUGCAGGUCUGCCAAUCCCACCAGGACCACAGGACUCAAAGGCAAAAGGAACUUUGAUCUUCCCGAGCUAGCCCAGAGGCCGGCUGUCUGCAGGGGCGGGGCAGAGCAAGGCGGGCCCGGCGGUCCUUGAACUCCUAGGCAAGACUGAGGCUUCCUGAACUUUGGAUGGAAACUGAUCUAGUCAAGCGCCCUAGAAAGCUAGGGCUCGGCAGGUCCUCACUGAUGCCUUGUUCUUCCCCACCCCCCAACUCAAGAUUUUCAGCUAGUUAUAAACGUCUUUGAAAACAAAAAUUAAAAACUAUGCACUUAACAGGGAGGGAAGGAACAGAGCUUUCCAACGGGAACUGGUCUACCUACAUACCUAUUUCCUACUUGGGUGAUGGGUAGAGACUACUUUCUGGGGUUUCCAAGACCAGCUGGGGAUUCUCCUUCCCCACCACCCCCAGGUUCUCCUGUGCUCUCAGUCUCAAAUUUGCAGAUUUGGGGAGCCCAGCUUAGACUCUACUCCCCUUUCUUGCAUAGUUCUCUUUCAAGCCCAGUCUUUCACGGAACUUCCAAAAAAACUUUUUUAGGAGACCCAAGAUUAAAGAAAAUAGAAACUCUUUGUGUUUCGGUCUAAGAAGGACUGAAGUACAUCAAGUCCAGCUUGGAGGGCACAAUUACUAGCGAAAUGCCCUUUAGUCAAAUCCCACACAUCGACUUGAUUUGUGCGGGGAAUUUCCAGAAUUACUUGCUACAGCGUGGUGUGUCCCCCCCACCUUUGGAUUUUUGUAAACCAUUUAGGCAAAGCUAAAGAAAAAAAGAAAGAUAGGAAGGAAGGAAGGAAGGAAGGAAGGAAGGAAGGAAGGGAGGAAGGGAGGGAGAAACUGCACUCGAGACAGCUGCAGCCGCAGUGGGCUCGCCCCUGGCUGGAAGCGAGCAGCUCUUCGCUAGCUGGAAAGCAGAGGUGCCCAUCUCUUCCCGUGAGGAUGCAAAUUCCGCGGUCAGAAUCGUGCGUGUGAAUUACUGCGUGGGCAGCCAGAUGCUAGGCUGAGCUCAGGCUCCUCCAAUGCAGGAACCAUGGAGAGCAGGAGGUCUCAGAAAUCAAACCACCGGGUCUUCUCAGACCCGACAGCCCAGCGUUGCAAGCCUAGUGACCUCAUUAACUAGCUAGGGAAUUUGCAGGACAAGGAAGUAUUUCGUUUCCCCUUUCUCUUCUCCUAUAUCGUUCUUUUUAUCUGUCUUAUAUAUUAUGGUUUUGUGUUUGUCGCUGAAUUUCCAAACGGGGAAAAACCAAGACGGAGCUCAAUUCUCAGUAGGGCAGGAGCAAGAGAGGGACUCUGAGCCGGGGCCUCGUUCUUUCUCAUUUUCAUUUCUUGAAACUUGGUGCAUAUCACUUGUGUUUCCGGAAUAGCAGAGCCAGAAUUCUUUGGGACACGGUGGCCAGCAGGUUCAAAUUCUUUGUAUACAGAUAGUCUCUUAUCUCACCAGCUUCAAUAACUCCAAGAAUUUCCUCCUCCGCAGAGCAGCUCUGAAUUUUUCUUUCCGUCUUCGUCUUUCUGCCAUUUCUCCUUCCCACAUUUCCUUCAUCUUUCUUCCACUUCCAGGUCCUACUCUCUACUUCCUUUUUGUCUUUUCUAUUCUAUCAGUUCCCCGCCCCACUAAGAAUUCUCAAAGAUUAUUUAUUUCAGUUCUACCAAGUGCUCACCCGAAAGAGAGCGAGUCCUCCUCCUGUGACAAGGCAGGGGCAGCCACCCGGUGCACAGAUCGCAAGGGAACAAAGAAGUUUGUAGCUGCUGCAGCUUUUUAGGUGGGGGGAAGGGGGAGGUCAGAAAUAGGUUGACACUUGGUUUAAAAUAAAAGAACAUGUUAAGAAGUUUCAAAGCUGCCAAUAAAAACCUUUAAGUGGCUUGUGAUUCAGUGCCUCGAGUUGCGGCAAUGGCAUUGGUAAAUGACUCUAAUGCCCAAAGAAAAAUAUUACAAAUGCAGCUGUCUCGGCCACCAAUCGGGCGCCGCUCUCCUGCGCGGGCGGUGGCUCCUCUCCGGCGCGGAGGGCACCCGCAUUUGCAUGAUAAAUUGACCAGACUGGCGGCAGCCAAUGAAAUAUUCAAAUUAGGCCAGGGGUUAGGGGUGGAGUCCCUGGGGCGCCCUCUUUGAGCCCGCGGCGGCAGCUGGCUGGACCACCUCUCCAGCAGCGCCCUCUAGAGGCAGGACGGCGGGGCGGCUGCUCCCGCCCCAGGGAUGAGAUGGGGGAGUUGGGGUGGUGAGGUGGUGGGCUGGGGUGCUCUCAGGGCCGGUCUAGACGAUGAGGCGCUCUGCAGCCUCCGUAUGCGUGUUGCACUUGGACGUGUUGAUGGAUGGCAGAGGCAAGUGGUUACGCCAAGGAGGGGUUUAAGAAGAGCUCUAGCCCCUUCACUCCAGCUCCCCUCUCUAGGUUUCCUUAACAAAACUAGCAUUUACAUUAAAACAGUGUGUGUGUUCCAUUGACAGAACUUCAAGAUAAGACUCUUGCCCAUCCCAGACCGUGACCACUUUCCUCAAAGCCCUCCAAUAUUGAAAAUCUGGAGCAGACAAAUCCAGCUUUCUCAGAGCAGAGGAUUGAGUGCCCCUUCGCAGGCCUUGCGGUCCAGGAGGCUGGGAGCCGGGACUAGGUCGGGUGCUGCGAGCACCUGGCCCCUGGGGAAAGCCUGCGCAGGCGCAGCCGGUGUACUGACAACCGGCUGCAGCAGCAGAACACCCAUGGGGAAGUACGUCCUGGAGGAUGCGCUCGCACCCGCAGGCAGGAGCUCCGGUGAGUGUGCAGAGGCGUGCAGGGAGGAACGUGUGUACGGCACAGGUCAGUAGGGGUGUGGAAAUAAAGGAGUGUGCAAAGGUGCAGAGAAGGGACUGGCUCUGUGACAGUGCUGACCUCUGCCUCUAAGAAAAGUGAGGGCUCUGCAAGCACCAGGGGAGCUGGCCUCCUAGCCUGGCUCUGCCUGGGGCUCAGGACUCAGUGGAGGCCUAUGCCUGGGCCACUGGGUUGGCUUCCAUCAGGGACCAGUGGAUAGCUCUUGUCUGUUUAGCAUCUGUCCCCUUCCGCACCCUCUUGGCCCAUCUGUGCCAAGUACCCUGGGGCCCACCACGACCCUGCAGACUUAUUUUUUAAACAGUCUUUAGAAAUGCAAUUGUCUUUACUGUGGGGUGAUGAGCACACUGUUCUUUAUCACAACAGGACUUAGAGCCUGGUCCCAGCUAACAACUGCCUCAGGGAGUAAUUGAUCCCCAGCCCUGCUCCCUCCCAAAGGGUGGUGGUCAGGCUGCGGGGAAGCCUGAGUUCCAGAGCAGAGGGCCCUCGUGGCCACUCUCUGGAGACUCACUCAGCUCAAGUCAGUCAUCUUCAGCCACCCUUCCCUGCCCCUUCAUCCGGAGGGGCGGGGGGAACCUGUUGGGGGUGCACUCAGAGCCUGGACCCAGGCUGGCUAACCAUUUAUAAAUACUCAUAGGAGGAAAAAUGAUAAGUACUGAAGACAAAUUUGAGACGGCGUGAAUUUUGAUUUUUCAUCACCUUCUAGAUAUUUAUCAAUGCUUUAAAAUAUGUUGCCCAAAUAGGGGGAUUAAUUCCUAAGAAUUAAGGAGUGUUUGGGCUGAAGAGAAGGGGCUCUUGCCCAGGGAAAACAGGGUAAUUUCAGGUACACCAGGGACCUCCCUGCUUUUUGAGAGAAUCUUGCAUCCCAGCCGAAUGCCUGGGAAUAGGGCUCCCACCAGAAGGCCUGCCAGCCUUAGAAGCGGUGAGCACCUAUGUAGUCCAGUUGGGAGGCACCCCCUCAGCACCCCAGCCACCCACAGACCCUCCUUCCUCCUCUCAGGCCUCACCUGAUGGCCAGGGAAAAUGAGACUUGAAAAUGGGCCAGAGCCAUCCUCCAACAGGGAAAUUUGUCAAGGAGUCACACCCGUCUCAAAUGUCCGGGAAUGCCAGCUGCUCUCUCUCUCUGGAGGAUGGCCCUAUCUGGGGCACGCUGAGAUCCAAGAAGGUAGACAGGGAAGUAGCGACUGGAAUUUGCACCAUCCAGGUCAGAUGGAAAAUAGAAGCCUGGAAAAUCUGACACUCUCAUUGAUUUGCUCUCCUUGCCAUCGCUACUCGCUACUCCAGAGAAGGAGCAGUGUGACUUGAGCAUCGCAAUUAGGAGUCAGCCUGUUAAGGGUUCCUUGCCUGAGCUCCCGGGCUCUGCUGCUCCCAGGCCCGCCUCCUCUCAUUUCCUGAGAAGGCAUUGGAUGUGGUCCCCUGCGUUUCUGGUACUGAUGAUUGAAUUUUUAAGAUGAAAGAUCUCCAGGCAAAUAAGGAGCAGUUGGGCAGGAUAGCUGCUUCAAGUCUUCGUAGACUCAUGUAAGGAACAGAUCUGGUCUGAACUGUGAUCAAUCAGGAAGAACAGUCCAUAAGAUGAACACAUUAAACUUAAAAGAGAGAAUUGAUACUCUUCAAAGGAUUCAAAUUUUACUUAAAAGCAACCACUUUUCAAAGGUCUCCAGCUGGAAUAAAUGGUGAUGAAGUGAAGUGAAACUUGUGACCAUCCAGAAGUCUCUUUUUGGGGCCAAUCUUCCAGAAUUCCUUCAGAGUCACUCAUUCCAUAUUCCCAACUCCAAACUGGAUUUCGGCAUUUCUCUGGUAUCUGAUUUUGUUUUGCUGUGUGGAUAUAUUAAAAAUGUAGAAAAAUGUGUUAAUCAACACCUGUGUAACCACCGCUCAAUCACCAGAAGCCCCCUGGACACCCCCUAGUUACAACCCCCUUUCCCAGAGGCCACCACCACCUUGACUUUAUAGCCAUCACUUUAUUGCCUUGCUUUGUAAUUAACACUUAGUUGCACAUCCCUGUGCCUGUAUUUAGACUUUACGAAAAGGAAAUCAUAUUCAAUGAAUUCUUUUGUGUCUUGUUGCUUUCACCCAGCAUCGCCUUUGUGAGACUUGACCACGUGGAUGUAUGCAGUUUCUACACUGUAGUUUCAAACCUGUAGACCCCGAAUAUAUUGCAGUGUAGUAGGUCUUCCUUUGUCUCUGGUGUUUGGCUAUCAUGAAAAAUGGCACUGCAAACAUGCUCAUUUGUGUGUUGUGCACGUGUGGGAGAGCCUGUCAUACAUAUACAUAGGGGAGGGAUUGCUAAGUUGUAGAGUGUGUACAUCUACCAACUCCCAACUGUUUUCCAAAGUGAUCAUGUCAAUUUUCACUCCCACAAUCAGUUUUUAAGCAUUCCCAUCAUUCCACAUCCUUGUCAGGUCAGCAUAUGAUAUUAUAAGCUUUCUUUCCCUC